rnacentral:rRNA from 1 species
ACGGGAGGCAGCAGUGGGGAAUAUUGCACAAUGGGAGAAAUCCUGAUGCAGCGACGCCGCGUGAGUGAAGAAGUAUUUCGGUAUGUAAAGCUCUAUCAGCAGGGAAGAAAAUGACGGUACCUGACUAAGAAGCCCCGGCUAACUACGUGCCAGCAGCCGCGGUAAUACGUAGGGGGCAAGCGUUAUCCGGAUUUAUUGGGUUUAAAGGGAGCGUAGGCGGAGACUUAAGUCAGCGGUUAAAGCGUGUGGCUCAACCAUACCACGCCGUUGAUACUGGGUCCCUUGAGUGCACAUAAGGAUGGUGGAAUUCAUGGUGUAGCGGUGAAAUGCUUAGAUAUCAUGAAGAACUCCGAUUGCGAAGGCAGCUGUCCGGGGUGUAACUGACGCUAAUGCUCGAAAGUGCGGGUAUCAAACAGGAUUAGAUACCCUGGUA